rnacentral:rRNA from 1 species
UACGUAUGGUGCAAGCGUUAUCCGGAUUUACUGGGUGUAAAGGGAGCGCAGGCGGCACGGCAAGCCUGAUGUGAAAGCCCGCGGCCCAACCGCGGGACUGCAUUGGGAACUACCGGGCUGGAGUGCCGGAGAGGUAGGCGGAAUUCCUAGUGUAGCGGUGAAAUGCGUAGAUAUUAGGAGGAACACCAGUGGCGAAAGCGGCUCUCUGGCCUGUAACUGACACUGAGGCUCGAAAGCGUGGGGAGCAAACAGG